UGCGCCUGUGGCUCAAUUGGAUAGAGCAGCGGACUACGGAUCCGCAGGUUGGGGGUUCGAGUCCCUCCAGGCGCGCCAU
rnacentral:tRNA from 1 species